GGUCCAAUAGUGUAGAGGUUAUCACAUAGGAUUCUGAUUUGACCUACCAACAUUACCUUCCUAUGACCCAGGUUCGAGUCCUGGUUGGACCU
rnacentral:tRNA from 1 species